rnacentral:rRNA from 1 species
UUCCAGACUCCUACGGGAGGCAGCAGUGGGGGAUAUUGCACAAUGGGGGAAACCCUGAUGCAGCGACGCCGCGUGAGUGAAGAAGUCCUUCGUGAUGUAAAGCUCUAUCAGCAGGGAAGAAAAUGACGGUACCUGAGUAAGAAGCCCCGGCUAACUACGUGCCAGCAGCCGCGGUAAUACGUAGGGGGCAAGCGUUAUCCGGAUUUACUGGGUGUAAAGGGAGCGUAGACGGCCAGACAAGUCUGAAGUGAAAAUCCAGCGCUUAACGUUGGAAGUGCUUUGGAAACUGCCGGGCUGGAGUGCAGGAGGGGCAGGCGGAAUUCCUAGUGUAGCGGUGAAGUGCGUAGAUAUUAGGAGGAACACCAGUGGCGAAGGCGGCCUGCUGGACUGCAACUGACGUUGAGGCUCGAAGGCGUGGGGAGCAAACAGGAUUAGAUACCCCGGUAU